GCGUGCUAUAACUGGGAUUGAAUUCUUUCAUAGGUACCCUCCCUUGCAUUCAUUCUUAUUUAAUGAGCUAAAAAUUGCAACGGAGUCACUUUUAGAUGGAUCAUCUGAACAUCUAAGGUCCAACCUUGCGAAAGUUGUUCAUCCCAGCUUAUGUCCAGUCCUGAUUCUCUUAUCUCGACUCAAGCCUUCUCCAAUUGCAAGUGAAGCUGGUGAUCCCCUGGACCCUUUCCUUU
rnacentral:misc_RNA from 1 species